AAUAGUUGACUUUGUAACGGAAUGAGAUGAAAAGACAAUUCAAAGGCAAGGGAGAUUUCUUUAUCCGAAAUCAUACAGACCUGAUCAACGGAGACCUUCGGGCUUCCAUUUCCGGGAACCAUACCGUGAGAUCCUAUCUGAGGAAUCACAAAGAUAUUCUCGUCCACUUUGUCCCAGAUCGUGGUAGAAGAAGGAUCGCGAAGUAGUGUCUUUCCCGUGGUGUGAUUUUGCCAAAAGUUCAAUAGCUAGGUUGUGCGGUGAAUUGUGCGUGUUGAACCCGAGUACCAAGUUCAAAGCCAAGCGCGAGCGACGGCUAUACCUCUACUCCAAAAAUAGCACGUACAUCGCACAAAGCGAAGAACGAGAGCGUCUCGCCCACCACCUUACGUCGCGCAUCCACCCUGCGUCCUGGGGCCAAAGUUUGCCCGGCGAUUCCAGGCCGGAAGGGAGUCGCGAACGUCACCAACGCACUCCGAAGGCAAGCGACAUUCGCCAAUCGUCCGCUCGUUUGGUCACGAGCACGAGAAACACUCCACGAAGCUCGUGCGUGGCCGUGAAUCGAAUUCACCGUAGAGGUACCGUUCGGCCAACCGUCGACACUAUCGUCAACGUCAUCGGCGUCGUCGUAGAAAGCGCCCGAUCGAAAGCUCGUGAGUACGUUCCGUGAAACUUUGCAUGCAACCCGAUUAGCACACACACAUACACACAAAAGCGCUAGCGUAGACCAAAACCGCACAAGAUAGGGCCAUAGUCAGAAAGGGGGAAGAAGAAGAAGGAAGGCCGGUCGGACGCGACCGUAGAAAUGGAAUAGGUUAACAAAUUGUUUCUAUUAAUGAAUACCUUAGGUUAUCAAAUUGAAUAAAUGUUCAUGAUGAAGUCCUUGUUUCCCUAAACCAUGUGUUAGUAAGUGAGUGUUAAGAAAGUCUAAAGUACGUUUCACGUUUCGUGGUAAUUUGUUAUUCCGCCUUGUUGUGAAGUCCGUCUUCCAAAACGGGAUGGAACUGAAGUGGUUGGGAUGUCUUUGCCAGUGAUGAGAACAGGAUAAGGUCGAGUUCUGGGAUAUCGGUCGUUUGGGGGAAUUUGUUGGUUAUGUCUGUGUGGCUUCCGCUAUUGAAGUAGAGUCCUUGUAUGAUGAGUCUGCUCGCUUGUUCCCGCGCAUUGUUGAUUAUUCCGAAGCUGACUCUUCGGUCAGUAUCUAGCCGGGCAUCGUAGAAAACGACGGGUGGUCCUCCUAGGAGGUGGCGCUUAAGCCACUUGUUUAAAAAUCCGGGCCGGAAACAAGAAGCAGACUCCGAGCGGGCCCAUGGCCGCU